CGGCGGACGGGUGAGUAACACGUGGAUAACCUACCUAUAAGACUGGGAUAACUUCGGGAAACCGGAGCUAAUACCGGAUAAUAUAUUGAACCGCAUGGUUCAAUAGUGAAAGACGGUUUUGCUGUCACUUAUAGAUGGAUCCGCGCCGCAUUAGCUAGUUGGUAAGGUAACGGCUUACAAAGGCAACGAUGCGUAGCCGACCUGAGGGGGUGAUCGGCCACACUGGAACUGAGACACGGUCCAG
rnacentral:rRNA from 1 species